rnacentral:rRNA from 1 species
CGGUAAGGCCCCUUCGGGGGUACACGAGCGGCGAACGGGUGAGUAACACGUGAGCAAUCUGCCCUUCACUUUGGGAUAACCACCGGAAACGGUGGCUAAUACCGAAUACGACCGGUCUCUGCAUGGAGUGCUGGUGGAAAGUUCCGGCGGUGGAGGAUGAGCUCGCGGCCUAUCAGCUUGUUGGUGGGGUAAUGGCCUACCAAGGCGACGACGGGUAGCCGGCCUGAGAGGGUGACCGGCCACACUGGGACUGAGACACGGCCCAGACUCCUACGGGAGGCAGCAGUGGGGAAUAUUGGACAAUGGGCGAAAGCCUGAUCCAGCAACGCCGCGUGAGGGAUGACGGCCUUCGGGUUGUAAACCUCUUUCAGUAGGGACGAAGCGCAAGUGACGGUACCUACAGAAGAAGCACCGGCCAACUACGUGCCAGCAGCCGCGGUAAUACGUAGGGUGCGAGCGUUGUCCGGAAUUAUUGGGCGUAAAGGGCUCGUAGGCGGUUUGUCGCGUCGGGAGUGAAAACUCGGGGCUUAACUCCGAGCCUGCUUCCGAUACGGGCAGACUAGAGGUAUGCAGGGGAGAACGGAAUUCCUGGUGUAGCGGUGAAAUGCGCAGAUAUCAGGAGGAACACCGGUGGCGAAGGCGGUUCUCUGGGCAUUACCUGACGCUGAGGAGCGAAAGUGUGGGGAGCGAACAGGAUUAGAUACCCUGGUAGUCCACACCGUAAACGUUGGGCGCUAGGUGUGGGACUCAUUCCACGAGUUCCGUGCCGCAGCUAACGCAUUAAGCG